rnacentral:rRNA from 1 species
AUUGAACGCUGGCGGCAUGCUCUACACAUGCAAGUCGAACGGUAACAGGCCGCAAGGUGCUGACGAGUGGCGAACGGGUGAGUAAUGCAUCGGAACGUGCCCAGUCGUGGGGGAUAACGCAGCGAAAGCUGUGCUAAUACCGCAUACGAUCUAUGGAUGAAAGCGGGGGACCGUAAGGCCUCGCGCGAUUGGAGCGGCCGAUGUCAGAUUAGGUAGUUGGUGGGGUAAAGGCUCACCAAGCCAACGAGCUGUAGCUGGUCUGAGAGGACGACCAGCCACACUGGGACUGAGACACGGCCCAGACUCCUACGGGAGGCAGCAGUGGGGAAUUUUGGACAAUGGGCGCAAGCCUGAUCCAGCAAUGCCGCGUGCAGGAAGAAGGCCUUCGGGUUGUAAACUGCUUUUGUACGGAACGAAAAGGUUUGGGUUAAUACCCUGGGCCGAUGACGGUACCGUAAGAAUAAGCACCGGCUAACUACGUGCCAGCCGCCGCGGUAACAC